AUGGUAACAAAAGCAACUGGGUGAAGGGAAGGCACGAGAAAUGAAAAGUAUAUAAAAUGGAGAAUUUUGGAAUCAUGAGCUCACCGUUGUAAUUCUUCGAAGGUGUUUAUGUCUUCCUUUUUGAGUACCUUCAGGGCACAGUAUAUAUUUGCCGGAAGGUACUCAACAAGUAGAACCUGGAAUUAGAGAGUGGGUUUAGUAACAUUGAAUGUUCCCCUGUAUUUAAUGCUAAGUUCUAAUUAGAGACUGAAUUAAUUACCUUGCCAAAACUCCCCCUGCCUAAAACUUUUAUCCGGCGAAAGUCUCUUGCCGAAAAGCUGCAGAACUGUAGCUCUCUGCAACGGAAGAAACAGGAAUUUUGUUUUGUGCAAAAAAAAAAAAUAUAUAUAUAUAAAAUGUAAGUGUUCAUUUUCAGUAUUGAGGGUUUGUCUUACUGAGUGCUUUGUGUCUCCUCUGAUGGCUCCUCUGCCUGGCAAUCCUGAGUUGGGCAGUAAUCACCAGGGUGAGGGUCCUUCGAUGUUUCAGAGGAGUCUUCUCCAUGCACUUGCACGUCGCUAUUGGAAUAAGGCUGUUGUUCCGGCUCGGCAAAAAGAGAUUCCGCCUCUCCCUGAACCUCCUCCUCUUGUGCUGGUAAGUCACUCUUUUUGAUGGAUGUAUAUACAGCCUUCAUGCCA